UUCGGCUUACACGAAGCCUCCUUUCUCUCGUUCCCUCUCAUCUCUUUUUUACUCAUGAGCACCAACACAGUGGCCAGAAAUCGCUCCGCCGCGCCGAAGGCGGCGGAGCUCACUCAAUCUCCCAAACUUAAUACCUCACCUUACUCGUUUCUCUGCCCUCUCCUCAAAAAUCGGUUUGAUUUCUCUAGAUCUUCUCUCAAACUCUCCUACUCAGAUUAACAAGGAAACCCUAGAUCUAACAAAAAGUUCAAUUAACAAGGAUGGCGAUGAAUCAAAGCACAAGAAUAUAGGGGAAAGAGAUAGCGAGAUGUAUACAACGACUUCUGUAACAGAGGAAAGUUUAGGCUUACCUACCGGAGCAGUUCCGGUGACUCUUCAGUUGCGAUUACGAAGACGAGAAAACCAGAGUAACUUCGAAUUUGCAGGUACAUGGUUACUGUAUGGUGAAGGCAUGAGGUCUUGCAAGAUGGAAUCGAGGAGGCCAAUCUUCCAUUGAUGGCAACUUAGGAUUAGAAGCAAUAGCCUAAAGCCAUUUUUGUGUAAUUUUGUUGUUUUGUAAUAGAUAGCAACAUGAAGUAAAUAUUGAAUGGGCAUUUGGAAAUGAACUAUGAUGGUUUUUUUUGGUGUAUUUGAGUUUUGUAAUUUGGAAUGAAAGUAAUGAAUUUUGAAUGAAACUCUUUGGAUUUUGAUCAUUUGAAUCUUUUGUAAUGGAUGUCUUUGAGAAUGGAUGGCCAUUUGAGAA